GGGUGAAAUCUGGUGCCAAGGAGGGCGUAGUUGGGGAUAAAGUCAAAUGGUUUUUAGGCUGUUAAAACUUAGGUUUAAAACAGGAUUAGAUACCCUGCUAUACUAGGUUGGAAAUAUAUCACUUGAGUAGUAAACAGUUAUAUCCUCGAAACUUAAAGGAUUUGGCGGUAUUUUAGUCUUGUUAGAGGAAUCUGUUCCAUAAAUGAUAACCCCCGAAAUAUCUUACUCUUUUUUGUACGGCAGUAUGUAUACCGCCAUUAUUAGAUAGAUUUUAUAAAAUUUGUUGAAAUAGUUUGAAGCUAAUAUAUUAGGUCAAGGUGCAGCCAAUGGGAGAGCAGGUAAUGGAUUACAAUGUGAUAAGUAUAUACGGAUUAGUAAGUGGAAUUUUUGGUAUGAAGGCGGAUUUAAUAGUAAGGUCUGUUUAAUAAGCAGGUCUGAUAGAAGCUCUAAGAUAUGUA
rnacentral:rRNA from 1 species